CCUACGGGUGGCAGCAGUGGGGAAUAUUGCACAAUGGGGGAAACCCUGAUGCAGCAACGCCGCGUGGGUGAAGGAGCGUUUCGGCGCGUAAAGCCCUGUCAGCGGGGAAGAAGAAAGCCGGUACCCGACCCAGAUGCCCCGGCUAACUACGUGCCAGCAGCCGCGGUAAUACGGAGGGGGCGAGCGUUAUCCGGAAUUACUGGGUGUAAGGGGAGCGUAGACGGCGAGGUAAGCCUGAAGUGGAAGCCCGCGGCCCAACCGCGGAACUGCAUUUGGUACUGUUUUGUUGGAGUGUGGGAGGGGUAAGCGGAAUUCCUGGUGUAGCGGUGAAAUGCGUAGAGAUCAGGAGGAACACCGGUGGCGAAGGCGGCUUACUGGACCAUAACUGACGUUGAGGCUCGAAAGCGUGGGGAGCGAACAGGAUUAGAUACCCGGGUAGUC
rnacentral:rRNA from 1 species